rnacentral:rRNA from 1 species
CACGUAGGGCGCAAGCGUUGUCCGGAAUUAUUGGGCGUAAAGAGCUCGUAGGCGGUUUGUCACGUCGGAUGUGAAAACCCGAGGCUUAACCUCGGGCCUGCAUUCGAUACGGGCUGACUAGAGUUCGGUAGGGGAGACUGGAAUUCCUGGUGUAGCGGUGAAAUGCGCAGAUAUCAGGAGGAACACCGGUGGCGAAGGCGGGGCUCUGGGCCGAUACUGACGCUGAGGAGCGAAAGCGUGGGGAGCGAACAGG